rnacentral:rRNA from 1 species
UACGUAGGGGGCUAGCGUUGUCCGGAUUUAUUGGGCGUAAAGAGCGUGUAGGCGGCCAGGUAGGUCUGCUGUGAAAACUCGAGGCUCAACCUCGAGACGUCGGCGGAAACCAUCUGGCUAGAGUCCGGAAGAGGAGAGUGGAAUUCCUGGUGUAGCGGUGAAAUGCGCAGAUAUCAGGAAGGAACACCCGUAGCGGAAGGCAGGUCUCUGGGCAUUAACUGACGUGAGGAGCGAAAGCAUGGGGAGCGAACAGG